rnacentral:misc_RNA from 1 species
AACGGUCUAUACCUGCGGUACCUGCGGAAGGAUCAUUACCGAGUUUACAACUCCCAAACCCAAUGUGAACGUUACCAAACUGUUGCCUCGGCGGGAUCUUCUGCCCCGGGUGCGUCGCAGCCCCGGACCAAGGCGCCCGCCGGAGGACCAACCAAAAACUCUUUUUGUAUACCCCCUCGCGGGUUUUUUAUAUCUGAGCCUUUCUCGGCGCCCCUUCGUGGGCGUUUCGAAAAUGAAUCA